GAUAGCUCAGUUGGUUAGAGCAUGGUGCUGAUGAUGCCAAGGUUGCGGUUUCGAUCCUCGUUUGGGAGAGCUGCA